CAGGUACACCUGAGUAUCUUCCUCCAGAGACAGUACUGAGAGGGGAGUACUUUGCUGUUCCGGCCACCGUGUGGUCGCUAGGGAUACUGCUUUUUCAGAUGGUGUGGGGUGACGUUCCUUUCUACAGUGACGCAAGCAUCGUCAAAGCAACCCUCUACUUUCCACGUGGAAUAUCCAGAGAUUGCCGUCACCUGAUUCGCCGGUGCCUCGCUGUCAGUCCAGACGACCG